UUUUUUUUUUUUUUUUUUUUUGUAUAUAAAAAAUCAUAGAAAUUCAUAAUUCAAUGAUUUGCUAUAGUUUAUUUAUUUAUUUUUUUGGUUGAAUUGUUAAUCUCUACUACUUUAUAGAUAGUGUCCCGUUUUCGAGGCGUUUGCAAAGCCUAACGUGUCACCAUCACACACAUACACAUUUCUGUUUUUUAAUAUAUAUAUAUAUAUAUAUAUAUAUAUAUAUAUAUAUAUAUAUAUAUAUAUAUAUAUACUAUCAUAAUUCCGAUUUUACCCUUAUUUAUAAGUGGGAUAUAAAAAAGCCCAAACCCAUACCCAAUAAUACCCCCACUUAUACAGCACGCAGAAGCGUGCAUAUUCAUAUAGUAAAUACAUAAUGUAACUAUAGGCCACAUCUCGUUAGCGUGCUUGGGACUGUUAAUAUCACAUGACUGGCCUUGUAUUUGCCUAUCCUUUUCAAAAUUCUUAACAAACUUAGAAAGAAAAAAGGUAUUCAAGGUUGUUUAGCUAUGAAAUUAGAUAUGCAUAAAGCAUUUCAUCAAAUUGAGUGGGCCGGAGUUUCUUAUUUGCAUGUUAAAAAGUUUUGGCUUUUCUAAUGUAUUGUGUAACUGGAUCUAUGCAUGUUUUUCUUCGGUAUCUUUUUUUAUCAAUUUGAUUGGGAGUCCUUAUGGUCACAUUGUCCCUAGUAGGGGUCUCAGGCAAGGAGACCUCUUAUCCCCAUUCUUAUUCAUAAUUUGUGUGGAUUAUAUAUUUGUCUCGUGUAAGAAUAAUUUUAUGUCCCACGUGAUAAUAUAACUAUUAUAAAUUAGUUAUUCUUUUAUGGGUGGAAUGAUAUUAAUGAAAUUAUGGAAAAAAUCCUCUCUCACUACAUAUUGAUUAGACAUCACCCAUUUGCUGCCUAUUAGAAAGAUUAGUUUUGAAAAGACACAACUCUUUGAUAAAGAUAUAUGUCUUUUCUGAAUAGAUUUUAUGAAAAGACACACACGCUUUAGACAAUAAUUGGACAACUAUAAAAAACUUUAUGUCGUCCAAAGACGAAGUAUCAAAUGAAUUAAAUUUUAAGUGUGUAUUCAAAACAUAUAUAACGAUACAGUAGAUAAGAGAGAAACUAUUUCCUAGAGAUUGGUAAAGUCUCACUAAAGUAGAGUUCAUGUUUUAUUAUUAAAUAUCGAAUUGUCUUCUCCAAAUUUAAGCAAUGGACAAAGGUAUGUCCAAUUUAUGUUUCCGCAUUAUGUUUAUUAUUUAUUAAAUAUCGAAUUGUCUUCUCCAAAUUUAAGCAAUGGACAAAGGUAUGUCCAAUUUAUGUUUUCGCAUUAUGUUUAUUAUUUGAUUGUGAAAUACAAAAUCCUAAAGAUCAUCUUACAUGGGGUAUCAUCUGCUAUGGACCAUUAAGUGUUAUUGGGCCUAUUAAAGUUACUGGAUAGAUCUGGUAUGGAUCAUUAAUUGUCAUUGGGCUUGUUGGACAGGUUUGGAGAGAUCAUUAGUUGUUACUAGGGUUCUGGUCAGAUGCAGUUUCUUAAAUUCAUGACUUACAAGUUAUCAUAAUGUUUUAAUUUAUAAGCAUCAUUGUGUGUAUGAUUAUGUGUACGUUAGUAUAUCAUGUUUAUUUUACCCAAAGGUGAUGCAUGAUAGUACUUUAUGAUUGUUUAUCUCAAAGCAUAAUGAAGUGAGUAUGUGUUACUUGUAAUUGCAGUCUCAUCAUCAUCGUUGUUUUACACGUAAGAUAUGUCUGUUCCUAUACUUAUUGGCAUGAAUUUUGCCGAUUGGUCUGAAAAGGUCCAAUUCAAUCUAAGAUUGCGUGAACUUGAUUUAGCAUUUCAAAUUGAUAAACAUGAUGUUCUCACUGCGAAUAGUACUGAGACUCAAAAGACUCUCUAUAAUCAGUGGGAGAAAUCGAAUAGACUUAGCAUUAUACUCAUGCGUAUGACUAUAGCGAAUAGUAUUAAGUCUACAUUACCAAAAACGGAUGAUGCUAAGGAAUAUAUGAAGAACAUUCAAGAAGGUUUCUUGAAUGCCAACAAGUUUCUUGAUGGAAAACUUAUGGGGAAUCUUUCCAACAUGCAAAUUGAUGGGAGUAGUACCAUGUCUUACAAAAAGACCCAACAAGGUUUUCACAAGCUAUUAUGUGUGUUAAUUCUCAUAAGUGGAUUGAUGCCAUAAAAAAGAGUUGGAAUCGAUGGCACAUAAUGAAGUUUGGGAUCUAGUAGAAUUGUCAAAAGGUCACAAAAUCAUUGGUUAUGAAUGGGGUCUAUAAGACCAAUUGUGACUUGAAUGGUAAUAUUGAACGAUAUAAAGCUAGACUAUUUACCAAAGGUUACAUUUGUAAAGAUGGUAUUGAUUAUAAGGAAACCAUAUCUUAUGUUUCAAAGAUAGAUUCGCUUAGAAUUAUCAUGGCUUUGGUGGCCCAUUAUGAUUUGGAGUUACAUCAAAUGAAUGUGAAAACGAUAUUUCUAAAGAAAGUUUAGAAAAUGAAGUUUAUAUGGAACAACCAGAAGGAUUUAAGGUUGAAGGCAAGGAACACAUCUAUAUAAUAUUACAAAGCGAUCUUAUAAACAUAGCCGUUAGAUGUCUAUUGAGACAACCAUAACCAUUGGAUAUACAUUAAAUUGUACAAUCGAUGUAAUAAUAGCCCUUAGAUGUGGAGAAUCGAUCCUAACCUUUAGUUGUCUAUUGAGACAAUCGUAGCCGUAGGAUUAACAUUAUUUAAGUAAUUUUCAUUUAAUGUACCAAAUAUAACUCCACAAAUUAAUUAUUACAUAAUAACCUCAUUAUACUUUGCUUAAAAUAUGGAAUUAAAUUUAGGAAUAUUUAUUCAUAACAUCAAAAUAAUAAUAGACAUUUAAAUGAAAACAGAUGCUUUUAUUCAUAUUAUAUAUUUCUUUUGUUCCAUUUCUCCCACCCACCAAAAUCAGACCACUUUCACGCAUAGGUUUCCAGGUAAAAUAUAUGUUAGUGAUAAAAUACUAAAAAGUCUUCCAAUUGUUGUCAAUUCCUUCUUCAUUAACAGUAUUAUUUUUUUCCUUGUUCUUUUUGGGACAAGUACAAAGUUCUGCUUGCGAUGGCUGCUAUAAAAAAAAAUUGGCUUCCAAUUACAAAUAAUUUUCACUGUUUUUUUUUUUUUCAGUUUCACAUAAUGUAGGAUCUAAAAGUUAACACAAAAAUAUAAUCUAUUCCAGGGAUUUUCAGUGUAUAAAAACUAAAGUUGUGAUUUAUUGAUUCUUACAUUUCGCUUUCUUGGUGAAUUUUCUUCUAUUGCCAACUGAAUUUAUUGACACAUGUCCUUGAUUUCUAAAAAAUAAGAUGAAAACAGGAGAAACUUUUGUGUAUACAUCAGCAGACAAACUAUAUAUCGAUACAAACCAAUCCGAGUAUGUGAACUUAUAUCCUACUGAGUUCUUGAACUCACUUAAUCCGCAUGGAUUCCCACCAUUCUCUUUCAUGGUCAAAUCAGGUUCAAGGCUUAUAUUCUUAAGAGAUUUUGCCCAUACAGAUGGGAUGCAAACUGGAACUCGAUUGAUGGUCACACAAUGUGCAAAUCAAUACAUUCAAGUAAAAAUUCUUACUGAAAAUAAACUAGGUGAAAUAGUGGUUCUACCACGGAUAACAUUAACUUCAUCGAUUUCCAAUGCUCCGUUCCAAAUUACAAGGACAUAGUUCCUGGUUAUGCUUGAUGGUGGUGAUGAGCAAAUCGACGAUUGCAAUUGAGAUUUCUUUGUGCAGUUUUCUUCAAAAGUUUAUUUUGCUUAGAAAUAUAUAUGUAUGCGACAUAAUAGUUUUUUGCCACCAUUUCAUUAAAGUGAGUCAUUUUUUCUUUUCUUUUUUUCUUUGUAGAUAUUCAGUAAUAGAUUCGUUACUUAUUCUGAAAAAGUAUAUGGUAGUUCUAUCAAAUUAAUUUGGAGACUAUAGUUUUUGGUAGGACAAUAACCUUGAGUAUAUUGGUUGUUCCAUUAAUUUCUAUAUCAAUUUUGUUGUUUUAUUGGUUGUUAAUCUCUUUGUUGUAUAUUCAACAUGCACCUUAGUAAUUAUUUUGCAGGAAUGGUCACUGGUCACUCACUUCCCUUAAUCUAUUAUCAUUAGCUAUAUAUAUUAUCUUUAGAUUCAACAAACAUGUGCUAUGCAUAUAUUGUUGGUACCGGUAUAUUAUAUUUCUCCGCAAUCUCUUUUCAGUAUACAUUUUCACCUUUUUUAUACAUAACAUAAGAAGAAAACGAUAGUUGGGUGGCUAAAGUACAAACAAACACAUAAUAAAGUGUUCUAUUGGUAGUGAUGAAGCAUGACAAUUGAAUUUGACUUUUGUUAAUUGUUACCCCUAAUGUCUUUUUUACAUUUCUAACUUCUUAUAUUUGAUUUGUAUAAGAUGUAUCUUUUUACAUUAAAAGUUGUACUUGAUGCAUAAAUGAAAAUGUUGUAUAAAAUUAUACACUAUCUAUAUUUUUUAAUCAGAUCCAUUGCAAAUGAUCAAAUUAAACAACUAUGAUGUGAAAUGAUCCAAACUUAAAACUCGCGUGGAUCUCAAAACAUUUAUCGACUACAUUCAACUUAACCUUCAAAGUAUCUUGACUUUGCAACUUCAUUAAACUUCAGAUGUUGCAACUGGAAAAAUAUUUAAUAAAUUAUUGCAAAGGUAUCCAAAUAUUCACUACAAACACUUAUAUAAUAGUUUUCUGAACACUUUUUUUGCACGGUUCUAUCAAAAUUUUAAAAUUAUAUCAAAGAAUAGCCCUCCAAUAAAAUUAUUAUUAUUUUAGAAUAAUUUAUUUCAAUAAUUUUUAAAAAUAAAAUUAAAAUAAUAUCUUAAACAUAAAAUGUCUAUGAAAACAAUUGCAUCGCCUAUUACUACAUAAAAAAAAUUAGUAUGACAACUAUGGCUCUAAAAAAAAAAUACUAUUGCAUCACCUACUUUUAUUAUGAAAAAUAAAAUACCAUCUGUAUUCGUUUCAAUAAUUUUUGAAAAAAAAAAUUUAAAAUCAAAAUUAAAAUAAUCAUGUCGUAGGCACGGGUUAUCACGAGUGGUAUAUAAGUUAAAGAAAUCAAUUUAUGGACUUAAGCAAGAUACGCAACAAUGGUAUAUAAAGUUUAAUGAUACCAUUGCUUCUUUUGGUUUUGAAAGUAACAUCGUUGAUCGAUGCAUAUACCUUAAGAUCAGUAGGAGUAUGUUCAUAUUUUUGAUUUUAUGUAUGGAUGAUGUAUUGUUGGCAAGUAAUGAUCAUAGUUUAUUAAAUGAAACCAAAAAUUAUCUUUCAGAUAACUUUGAAAUGAAUGACAUUAGAGAGGCAUCUUAUGUGAUGGAAAUUGAAAUAUUUCGUGAUAGAUCACAAGGAUUGUCUCAGAAAGCAUAUGUCGAUAAAGUUCUUGAACGAUAUGAUAUGCUUAAUUGCAAAGCUGGUAUAAUGCCAAUUCAGAAUGGGGAUAAGUUUAGCUAUAUAUAUAUAUAUAUAUAUAUAUAUAUAUGCAAUGUCCUAACUAUGAAUUGGAACACCAGCAAAUGAAAAGUAUUCCUUAGUAUCUCUUGUUAGUAGUCUUAUGUAUGUGAAAGCUUGUACAAGGCCGGAUAUCAGUUUUACAGUUGGUAUGCUAGGCAUAUACCAAAGCAAUCCCAGAAUUGAACAUUGUAAACCUGCAAAGCAGGUUCUUCGAUAUUUACAAGAAACGAAGGAUUAUAUGCUCACAUUUCGAAGAUCUAAGAAGAACAUUGAAGUCAUUGGCUACUCUAACUCGGAAUUUGCUGGAUGUGUUGACACUCAUGAAUCCACUUUUGGCUAUUUAUUCCUUUUGGCUGGAGGACCAAUAUCAUGGAAGAGUGUUAAGCAAAGUGUUAUAGCUUCAUCAGUUAUGGAAGCAUAAUUUUAGCAUGCUUUGAGGCUAUAAUUCAAGCAUUAUGACUGCAAAAUUUAAUUUCGAGACUUGAAGUUGUCGACACUAUUAGUAUGCUUAUAGUAUGCACCUUUGUUCAUGGGUCGAAGUCUUUGGUGGAAGCUGCAGAUAUGUUAGCCAAUAACCUAGCCAGAACUCAGUUUAGUCUAAGUGAGGGUCGUUAUCCUUUUAUUCCAGAGUCAGUGAUGUUAAGUUUCGAGUCAGUCGAAUCAGUUGUAUGAACUGUUUAUUUUUAUUUAAUAUAUUAGUACAGUAAAACCUCUCUAUAGUCAUACUCUUGGGACCAAAAUAAAUUAUUACUAUAGAGAGGUUAUAACUUAAUAGAGUUUCACUUAAGAAAAUUAUCGUAUAAUUUCAAUAAUGGUAUAGUUUCAAAACAAUAAUAUAGCUUCAAGAUAUAGUGUACAUAUACUAACUUAGUGAUGGGAAGUGUUAGAAAAUAAAAAAAAACAUAUUAAAUGUCUUAAAUUUUAUAUUUUCUUUAAUAUUUUUCUCAAUAUAUAAUAUAUUUUUUGUUAAUAUAUACUUAAUUAUAACUAUAUAGAGGCAAUUUUCUUCUAGACGGGACCUAAAAAAUUUAUAACUUUUGACAAUAUGAAUAUUAUUCCUAUUUAUAACUGGUCCCAAGUUGGGACCGGAAUUUUUUAUGACUAUGUAGAGGUUAUUCCUAUAUAGAGUAUUCCUAUAGAGGGGUUUUAAUGUAUGUUUGUUUAAAAAAAUAAAAAAAAUAAAAAACUCGAGUUGAUACGCAACCACCAACAAUUUUAAUUAAUAAGUAACCCAGAAGAAUGUUCGCCAUCCCGAGUCUGUUAAUUACCAUCUUCAUCUAAUAGCAUUGAAGUCCCCUCCGACGGUAACUCACUAACUCCAAACUCGCCUUCAGAUUUUUUUUUUUAACUCCUCCCAGGUCACAUAACUCAAUACAAAGCAAACCUAAAUUAAAGCCAUCCACGCUCAAACAACUGAAAUGUUUACAACCAGCCCUGAUUCCUCAUUUUGCAAGAUAAGCAUACAUCCUGACAACAACUUUGCAUGAUUAUCUAUACCUUCACCUUCCCCCACAAAACUUUCAACUCCUUUGCCCUCUCACUAGACAAUUUAGUUUCUUUGCCCUAUAUACAGAAUAGUACCCUGCAUACAUGAAUUAUUACAGAACAAAAUUAACUCACACUGUAACUCCAACUCUCCACUAAAUCCAGAUAUGAAAACAACAAAACAGUUACUCAAAGAGUAGACGUUGAAGCUUCUAUGUCCAAGUCCUAAUCAAGUUUCAGCUUGAAAUUACCGCUUAAUUUACAACCAUGAGAAGAGAAUUUCAAUACUGAAUUAUUGACUACAAAUGAAAAAUAAUUAAAAAAAUGCAACACUGAGGGUUCAUCGAUAGAAACAUAUUACAAGCCUGAUCAGCGGGUGUUAACAAGCCAUGUCAGGCAAUUAAAAUAAAAAAACCAACCGACAUACAAUGCAUAUAGCCUAAGACUAGACUGAAACAUCCUGAAUAGGUUCUGCUAAUUUCCCUGCAACUGUCCUUUGCACCGCACACCAAAAUCACAUCCCCUGUACUCCUUCCGGAUCUUUAACUUUCCCCCACGGCAGAUGAAGCUACAAAGCCAAUGACCAGCCUUAUAAACAGGUCGCACAUCACUCUCCUGCCCGUUACUGAAGAACUGCCUCCUCUCCAUAUAUGCUGCACUGCUGCCCUUUGUGAUCUAGGUUGCCCCAACUCUGAAAACUACCCUACUUUCGCUGCUGCAUUUGUCGUAAAUGAUAGAUAGAAGAUAAACUUUUUAACUUAUAACAUAUGAUGAAGUCCUGUAAAGUAAAUACUUAGUGUGGCUUUGGAGAAUUUGACCGAGAGAGUAAGAGAGGAUAGAUCAUUAUAUGCUAAAAUUCCUCUUAAAAAAAACAGAAUUAUAAUGUGAGAACACAUACGUUUGCUGCUAAGAUCAAGUAAAACCCAAAAUGAAAUUUUCAUUGAAUUCAAACAAGGAGUCCACUACGUACGUACAGGUUCCAUGUUUCUAAGAAUGGACCAUUUAAUCAUACGGCACCCAUGUUUGAACCAUUCGUGUUAAAAGACUGACACGAGAGAACAAAUCAUUAUAACAAUAAAUUCCUGUUAACAAAACAAGAUGAGAAAAAAUUGCAAAUUAGGAACGUGAAAGGAUAUGUGAUAUUGAUUAAUACAAGAGCAAACCAAGAUUGAAACACAUAUUAAUUUUUGAAGAAAACUUACUUUCAUUGUUCAAAGGAGUAAAUAUUUCCAAACACCGACAGAGACAAAAUAAAAUGCACCAUGGAUACCCAAAAGAGAGAGCAUCAUACACAAAACAGAACAAAUAUAAGUGUUGGACUAUAUGCAGUGAUUAAUUAAAUCCUAACAACGCCAACAACCUGCAACCUAGAUAUUCGUGAGAACACCUCCUUUGCAAUACAUGAUCCGUUUUGUCAAUGAUGUCAAAGAUUACCAAACAAUAAACAAUAGUAUAAGAAGAAUAAAACAAUAAAGAACAAUAACACCAAAAUAUACGUGGUUCGGUAAUGCCUACCUCCACGGGGAAAAAUGAGAAGAUUUCACUAUAAAAAAAGAAACACCGAUUACAAUAAUCUCCCUAGUAUCUUUCUCAAGAUCUUAAUCUCUCACCUUAAACCCAAUACACCCUUGGCUCCCAAAGUUCUCUCUCACUUACUCUAUCUAUCUCUAUGUUUCUUCUUGUUUUCUUUCUUGUUUUCUCUCUUUACAAAUACCAAGUUACUUGGGUAUUUAUAGGCCAUGGGUAGAAAUCAAAUCCAUAUAGAAUUACUAAUUCAAACUAGAGAUAAAUAGGAAACCGAGUCCAAAUAGAACUCCUGCACAUAUAUGGUUUCCUUAACCAAUAUAAGAAACUGAUCCUAUGGAUCACACCUCUUAUAAGGUAUGAUCCUGUGCACCCAACUUAUGGCGAGCCAAUAUACAACAAUCUCCACCUUGGCGAGCCAUCGACCAAAAACAAGAUCAUUGCAGCUUGAAUUUCUUCAAGCACCGUCACAUUGGCAAGAAUCCUCUUGCCCCAACGCACCUCAAGUGAGGAGAUGCUCCACCCAAUCUUUAGCAUGUAGAAAGAUUGAGCAAGUUCAAACAAUGUCUGAACUUCUCAACUGAAACCGGCUUAGUAAGACAAUCUGAAGCAUUCUCAUCCGUGUGGACCUUCUCAACUGUAAUUUCACCUGAGUCCAACCAAUCUCGAAUCCGAUGAUAGCGAAUAUCAAUAUGUUUCGUUCUUGCAUGAAACAUUUGAUUCUUCGCAAGGCAAAUAGCACUCUGACUGUCACAUCUUAUCAUCAUAGAAUUUUGAUCUAACCCGAAUGUGCUUACUAAUCCCUUCAGCCAAAUAGCUUCCUUGCAAGCUUCUGUUACUGCCAUAUACUCCGCCUCAGUAGUGGAUAAAGCAGUAACCGUUUGGAGCAUUGAUCUCCAACUAAUCGGUCCUCCACCAUAAGUGAAGACGUACCCUGUGGUGGAUCUUCGCUUAUCUAAAUCUCUUGCAUAAUCAGCAUCCACAUAACCCGAAACACAUGCUUUCCCUUGUUGUCUUUCAAACAAGAUACCCAACGUCUUAGUGCCCUUCAGAUACUUGAGAAUCCAUGUCACAGCUUUCCAGUGUGGCUUUCCUGGAUUCGCCAUGUAUCUCGAUACUACACUUAGUGCUUGAGCUAAAUCAGGUCUUGUGCAUACCAUUGCGUACAUGAGACACCCUACUGCGUUUGUAUACGGCUUCUUCUUCAUCUCUUCCACUUCAGCGUCUGUGGAAGGACAUUGACUUUUGUUUAAAACAGAACUGUUGUUCAAAGGAGUUGACACAGGUUCUGCAUCAAUCAUAUUGAAGCGCUCAAGUACCUUUUCAAUGUACUUGACUUGUGACAGCCAUAUCUUUCCAGCUUUCCUAUCUCUCCUUAUCUCCAUACCUAGGAUUUUCUGUGCAGGACCAAGAUCCUUCAUAUCGAAUUCCUUGCUUAACAACGUCUUCAGCUCUUUAAUUCUAGACAUAUCCCGACAAGCAAUAAGCAUGUCAUCUACAUAAAGUAGCAAUAGGAUCACCAUCCCAUCAUCAAACACAUGAGUGUACACACAACAAUCAUAGUCACAUCAUCUAUACCCAAUGUUCAGCAUAUAAGAGUCGAAACGUUUGUACCACUGCCUUGAAGAUUGUUUGAGCCCGUAAAGAGACUUCUUCAACCUACAAACCAGAUUUUCCUUACCAGUUUCAACAAAACCCUGAGGUUGAGCCAUGUAGAUGACUUCCUCUAAUUCACCAUGGAGAAAAGCAGUUUUAACAUCUAACUGCUCAAGCUCCAUAUCCUGCUGAGCAACUAGUGAUAGUAACACUCUAAUAGAAGUAUGUUUCACUACCGGAGAGAAAAUUUCAUCAUAAUCAACUCCUUCCUUCUGUCAGUACCCCUUCGCCACCAAACGUGCUUUGAACUUUGGUGGUUCUUUCUCAUGCAUUCCUUCCUUCUUCCUGUAAACCCACUUACAGCCAACAAUUUUUCUUUCUGCAGGUUUAGGAACCAACUCCCAAACGGAGUUCUUGUAUAGAGAUUCCAUCUCUUCAGCCAUAGCUUCAAUCCACUCUUCUCUUUCGUUACUUUCAACUGCUUCACGAUAAGAAGUAGGAUCACCUUCACUAAUGCUUAAAGCAUAAUGAACUUCUUCCUUGAACCCAAGUUUAAUAGGUGGUUUGACUUGUCUUUGGCCCCGGUUCUUUGCUAUGCUGUAAGGUUGUUGCUUAUCUUUAUUAGAUUCAACCUCCUUUUCACACUGUUGUUGUUCUGGCCUAUCCUCUUCAACCACUGCAUCUGACUCCUCCACCUGAAUAGGAAUCUUCCCGUUGGAUACCUUGGUAAGAGGAGAUAUCUCUGUAGUUGCUUUCUUAACAAUAGUGUUUUUCUCACCAUUCUUCAUGUCUUGAUUCAUAGGCUUAGUCUUCUCAUCAAACACAACAUCUCUACUAAGGAUUUUCUUUCGGUUCACUGGAUCCCAUAACUUAUAACCCUUCACUCCCUUAUCGACGCCGAUGAAAAUGCAUUCAUGAGAUUUGGGUUUAAGUUUGGUUCUCUCAUCACUAGGAAUAAGAGCAUAUGCAUUACAUCGAAAUACCUUCAAAGUAGAGUAGUCUACCGGUUUACCUGACCAUACCUCUUCUGCACAUCUGAAAUCAAGCAUCUUGGAUGGUGAACGAUUAACCAAGUGACAAGCAUGGUUAAGUGACUCUACCCACAACAUCUCUGGCAGACCUGCAUGAAACCUCAUGCACCUCUCUUUAUUCAUAAGAGUUCUAUUCAUCCUUUCUGCAGCUCCAUUCUGUUGGGGAUUCUUCUUCACGGUAAAAUGCCUUGCAAUACCUUCAUCUUUGCAGUACUGUAGAAACUUCCUAUCCUUAUAUUCACCGCCAUUGUCAAUUCUUAGAUACUUGAUUUUUCUGCCUGUUUGAUUCUCUACCUCUACCUUCCACUCCUUGAAUUUAACGAAAACUUCGGAUUUCUCCUUCAUGAAGUAGACCCAAACUUUCCUUGAAAAAAUUAUCCAUGAAAGUGACAAAGUAGCGAGCUCCACCUUUUGAUUGAGUAGGUGAAGGCCCCCACACAUCUGAGUGAAUAUAGUUAAGUACUUCUGUACUUCUGUUCCUUGUAUCUGCAGCUUUGAAGUGUACUUUAGUUUGCUUUCCCAUAAUACAAUACUUGCAGAACUCAAGUUUACACUUUCCUACACCCUUCAACAAUUGUCGCUUGUGUAGUUCUUCCAUGGCUCUUUCACUCAUAUGCCCUAGCCUCAAGUGCCAAAGCUGAGUGUGAUCUUCUUGUGUAGAAACUGCAGCUCCACCAAUUACUGUAUUUUCCAAAAGCUUGUACAAAUUGUUAGAAAGUCUUACUCCCCUCAUAACCAUAAGUGAACCCUUUGACACUAUGAGAUUCCCAUCUUUGGAUUUGUAUGUGUACCCAUUCUUAUCCAAAUAAUUAAGGGAAAUAAGAUUCAUCCUUAGUGUAGGAACGUAUUUCACGUUACCUAGAGUCCUAACAAUUCCAUCAUGCAUCUUCAACUUUACUGUACCGAUUCCACAAACUUUACAACUAGAAUUAUUCCCCAUAAAAACUCCGUCGCCUUUUCUUUUCUCAAACGUGUCAAACCAGUCUUCGUUUGAACACAUAUGAUUAGAAGCGCCACAAUCUCCGUUGCUAUCAUCUGUAACAACGCUGGCUGAAUUUGAAUUUUCGGCCUUCUUCUUCUUUUCCUUAUAUUUCUUACAAUCUCGUUUCCAGUGGUCUGUCGCACCACAUUCAAAGCAACCUUCUUUAUCCCUAGAUUUAGAUCUUCCCCUGCCUUUUGAUUUGCUACUUCUCUUAUUUGUUCGGCCCCUCUCAUUAGAAUUAUUGACAUAUAGUCCUUCUGCUUGAGAGUCUUCACCUGUGUUCUUAUUCAUCUUCACAUGAGAGAUUAUAUCUUGAACAACUUCAUCAUACUUUAAAGUAUCUUUGCCGAAUAUUAAUGUGGUCCUGAAGUGCUUGAAAAAUGGAGGCAAAGAUCUGAGCAGGUACAGAGACUUGUCUUCAUCGUCAUACUUCACAUCCACCCGUAGCAAAUUUGUGAUACACUUAUUGAACACGUUUAGAUGUUCCAUAAGAUCACCACCUUCUUCCAUCCGAAGAUUUAAGAGUUCAUCUUUCAAGAAAAGUUUAUUUGAUAAAGACUUACCCAUAUACAACUUCUCGAGCUUUUCACACGUUCCUUUGGCACAAGUUUCCUCCAUCACAUUAAACAUCACCUCGUCCGAGAUAUGUAGUUCGAUGGAACUCAUGGCUUUGAGAUCUGCUUUGUUCCACUUGGCAUCUGACAUGUCAUUUGGCUUCUUGUCUUUCCCGUCAAGAACCACAUGAAGAUCUUGUUGGAUCAAAACGUUUCUCAUCUUCCUUUGCCAUAGUGUAAAGUUAUCUCUACCGUCAAACAGUUUAAUCUCAAGUUUUACACCGCCGCCAAAAGUAGUAACCGAUGGUUUCUUACCGUCACUAUUUGCAGGAACACCUGUAGUCUCCGUCAUCUUUGACAAAACCUUAAAUCCAACCUAAGCUCUGAUACCACUUGUUGGACUAUAUGCAGUGAUUAAUUAAAUCCUAACAACGCCAACAACCUGCAACCUAGAUAUUCGUGAGAACACCUCCUUUGCAAUACAUGAUCCGUUUUGUCAAUGAUGUCAAAGAUUACCAAACAAUAAACAAUAGUAUAAGAAGAAUAAAACAAUAAAGAACAAUAACACCAAAAUAUACGUGGUUCGGUAAUGCCUACCUCCACGGGGAACAAUGAGAAGAUUUCACUAUAAAAAAAGAAACACCGAUUACAAUAAUCUCCCUAGUAUCUUUCUCAAGAUCUUAAUCUCUCACCUUAAACCCAAUACACCCUUGGCUCCCAAAGUUCUCUCUCACUUACUCUAUCUAUCUCUAUGUUUCUUCUUGUUUUCUUUCUUGUUUUCUCUCUUUACAAAUACCAAGUUACUUGGGUAUUUAUAGGCCAUGGGUAGAAAUCAAAUCCAUAUAGAAUUACUAAUUCAAACUAGAGAUAAAUAGGAAACCGAGUCCAAAUAGAACUCCUGCACAUAUAUGGUUUCCUUACCUUUACAUGUCAAUCAGCACAACUGCACAAGUGCACAGCCGUUGCAUGACCUACUAAUAUAGUAAUAUCGAAUGGAUGUGCAACCGAUGAUCUGAACUGGUUGUAUUCCUAUUCAUAUCAUGAUAUCCAGAAUGUCUUUCCAAUAUAGUCCAUGACAAUUGAGAAUGAUUAAAAAUAAAAAAGGGGCAGUUUAGUCAUAAAAUUAAAACGAUUCAUGAACUUUAGUAAAUUGUACAAUUGUUCUUAAGAUAAAAAGUGGAUAGCACGCAGACCCAACACAAUGCUAACUGAAUUCACCCUCUACGCAUUGUGCUUUGUUGAAGACUUUAACAAGUGGAAGCUGAGUCUGCAUUAUCGCAAAAUUCUGAUCAAUUGAGGUGAAGAUGAGACUCCUUGUGCAUUGUUGUAGGUCUUUUCAACUGGCUCACUUUGAACAAGAGAUCGAUCCAUUAAUGAGUUGGAUAUCUGAUCAGACAACACAAUGUGAAUAAAAUCAGCGCAUUAAGAAUUGCUGUGACUUCAAUGAAUUUUAGUCAACAGCUCGACUGAUCAAGGCAACUGCAACAGGGUACUCCCAUCCUUCUUUAAAUGUAUAUUGCCACGAAAGAAAUUUGAAGGGUUUUUUUUUUAUUCUCUUCUACAAAAUUUCAUCUUCAAGACUCCUUUGGUAUAUUAAGAAUUCCUAACCAAAACAUGAUAAACAACCUAAGAGUCUAAGACCUAGUAAAAACAGAGGACUUCAACCAAAAAUAAGAACACCUAAGCAAAACAUGACACUUCAGCAAGUGCAACCAGUUUGGGUUUGAAGUUUUGAACUCCAACACAUACACCUACUUACAAAAGUUGUUACUUGUCAAUAAGCUGCACUGAGUGCGCGCUACCAAACUAGUAUCAGUACUUCAUCUACUUAUGUGGAAACUAGCUCUUGCUCUCCACCAAUAUUUGUUGAUUGCUUUCAUUUUUGUUUUUAAUUUUAACUCAGAAUUCCUGAGCAUACCAUAGUCCUGUCUGGUUUCAAUUCCCUUGCUGCACUGAACUUGAUUCCUUGAGUCUAAUGCAAUAUGCAUAUGCCCUUUGAGUGCAUCCCGAAUGGCCUGCAGCUUCAGACAUAGGUGUUGGGCGGUUCGCCUAUACAAUCAAAGGCGCUUCACUGCAGUUGUGCAUGUACUGGUUGAUUCUCUCUACGGAUAGAAUUGGUGUGACCAGAUUAAGUGCAUCAUAGGAAUCGGGAUGGAGUAGGACUCCCAAGUGCUCCCGUGUGAGUUACUCAGAACUGGUUGUCCUAUUGAACCUAGUCCGUGGGAUCUCCAGUCGCUAGGUUAGGUUUCCGUAUAAGGUAACUUGUAUUGGUUUAGGCUUUAGGUCCAUUCCCUCGAUGCGCAGUUAUUUUUCUCUCUAGAUAAACCUUAAUAAAUGGAUCCGUUAGGUUAUCUUUUGAUUUCACAUAAUCAAUGGAAAUAAUUCCAUUAGAGAGUAACCGCCUCACGGUAUUUUGACAACAAUGUAUUAUUUGUACAUCGUGACUUACCGUUGUACAUUAAAUUUUCUACUUUCCACAUUGUUGCAUCAUAUGACCCCCACAUUGUUAGGCCAUAGUGGAAUAUCUUCUAAAUUUUUUGAAGUCACUCAACUUCUACACUUGUUUUACUUAUAGCUAUAAACUCAGAUUCCAUAUGGAUUGUGCCAUGCACAUUUAUUUAGAAAAUUUCCAUGAAACUACAACAUAUGCUAAGAUUAACGCAUAACCACGAGUUGGUUUUGAUUUUCUUGAAUCAGAAAAUCAAUUUGCAUUAGCUUAUCCCUCAAGGACAAUUAGAUAUUCUCCAUACUAUAAUAUGUAGUAUGUAUUUCUUAAAUACUUACACUCGUAGUAAUACAUCCCAGUAAUUUUUAAACCAACUCAGUUUAAUGAUAGAAUAAGCAAUAUAUAUGGUCUUGUAUAAGUCACAAUGUACAUUAAUCUACCAAUACUACGAGAAUGCUCGAGUUAAAAAAUAGUAGUGUCAAUGUGAUCUUUCCUAUGUGAAAAAACAGUCUCACAGAAUGUGAUAUCACAUGACUUCAUUAUAGUACGUAUUUGAUACUAUAUCUCUAUUUGUUCAAUUUUACGUAUGCAAAAUAUGAACAUGCUAUAUUUUGAGCAUAGCCCAACAAAUAGCAUUCACUCAUUUUUAUGUCUAAGUUUAGAUCUCUUUUUAUUAGAACCAUAACUUUAGGCAUAUACCCUCACACUUGAAGAUAUUUAUAAGUUGUCACCUUUUUCCAUAUUUUAUAUGGAACAUUGUCAUUUCUCUUAUAGGGUACUCAAUAUGUAACUAAACAUACGUAGAGUUUCUCUUAAGACCUCAUAUAUACCGGAAUUUAUAUUUCAAAUUUAGGAUCUAAUCCCAAACGUACUUACACAUAAGCAAUGGAUCCAUUUUCUCAAUGAAUAAAAAACUUGUCAACUUGAUUUCUUAAAGAAAUCAUUCGCUUCUCAAUAUAUUGAGAUUUAGAUAAGUUUGGGGUAUUUUAAAAUCUCGUUGAAAACAAUGUUACUCUUAGGCGCAAUACACCCUCAUAUUUUUUUAAGAGAUUUCAAGUAAUGUACAACUAAUUAGAACACAUAAUAGAAAUUCAUAAUUUCCCUCGUUGGAAAUUAUUCUCGUUAGAAAUUAUUAAAGAUUUCUAUGCCCCACAGUUUUUCAAUUUUGAAAAUUUCACAUUUAAAUAUGUCUGAUUACACUUAUAUCUCAUAUUGGGUGUGUUUGGUUCGAUGGAAAAGGACGGAAAAGAAAACGUUUUCAGGGAAAGUUGAAAUUCCGUUGUUUGGUUCAAAAAGAGAACAUAAGAAAAUGGAAAGCAGAUUCCCCGCGAUAUAUCAGUUAGUCUAAAAUUUCGGAAAAUGGAUAUCUUUUUUGUUUUACAGAAACCGCUUUCCUUUUUCAUCUUCCGUCUCGAACUCCCGAUCUAUUUCUCUCCAUCUUCCCCAUACCAAAACCGCUUCUUCUUCUUCUUCCUUCUCCUUCUCUAUCUAAAUUGUGUUUUCUUCUUUCCUUUCUUCUUCUUCUCUUGCUCGGUGACCUGGUUUUAGAGAUCUGGAACUCUCCUUUCUUCCUCAUUCAAUCAAAACAAGGUAAUCAAAGUUUUCUUAAACAAGACCAGAUUUAUUUUCUAAACAUUGUUAGAUGUAAAAUUUCAUAGUUAUUGUUUCUUCAAAAUAGGUGUUAAAUUUGGGUUUUUGUUUUCUGGGAUUAUGCGAGAAGUGUUUGUUAUCAAUAAAACUGUGAUUUUUAUAUAUCUUCAUGUCAAAGUUCAGGUUGAAAGCAAAAAAUUAAGGUUGCUGAGACUGUUUUUUGUGUUUUCUGCAUUGGGUUGUCCUUAUUUUUUCAAAAAUAUAUUUUUCAAAUAUUUACAUUUUGAAAAUGCAUUCAAGUAAUUUUCUGCCAUAAUCAAAUAGACAUUAAUGUUAUAGUGGUGAUUAUGCUUUUAUUUUGUUUCUUGGUAUGUCAUCAACAUACUUCAAAACCAACCAGCUGCGACAUGUGAUCAGUAGUGAUAUUUACAAUGAAUCUAAGCACCUGGCUUGAUCCCUAAGCCUGCACCCUGCUCCUUCCCUGCGAUUAACUAACUAUAAAUCCUUAGCCGUCCUUAGAAUAUUUUCGAUAAAGACACUCAAAUUAUCUUGAUUAUUUGGGACACUGGAAUUCAUCAACAAUUAACUUCAGAAAUAAAGACCAACACGUUUCAUGACUCGUAAGAUAGUGUAAAAAAUUAUAUUGAAACAUACCAGGUUAACGAGUGUGUUUUCAACAAAGGUCUAAUGGGUUUAUCUUUUACUAAUUGGAUCAUUUAGCAUUACACACAAGGGGUGAGCUGAUUGUUUUGUUAUUUUAACCAAUCUGAGAUCGGGUAUCUACUUUUCAGAAUGGAUGUAUUGGUGGCAUAUUCAUGCUCUAACCACCUUAAUUAAUGAUCUGUACAGAUGAAGCCAAUUGUUGGGAAGAGAUACAUGCAAACGGCUGUGAACCGUUCCGUCACCCAAGAUGUUUCAGUCAACAACACACACCAUUCCAUCUAUUUUGAGAUAAAGCCGAUCCUAUUUAGGUGGCCUUCGUGCACAUUCAGGACUAGAUGAUAAGGUUUUGGAAAAUGGUUUUGUACUGAAGACAAUGGUUUUCUAUCGACGUGUGCGUGUUUUGUUUCUAUUUCUUUUCUCCAUGUUCACUAUCAUGCCAAAAAAUGUAAAGGACGUUACAUAUCAAGUUUUGGAAGCUCUCAUGUACUCCAAACUUUCGAGAUAGAAAGAGUUGGUAUCAGAGGUGCUUGUGUUGAAACUCCGCACACUAUUGUGAGUGUUGUUGUACCUAGGUUUAUUAAGCAUUGAAGUUGCUUGUGACAGUGUAGAAGUUUAUCAAGGGACAACAUAUAUGUUUAUAGUGAUCUAGAUUAUCAAGGAACAUCAUAUAUCUUUAUAGUUGUUUGAAUUAUUCUCAGUUCCUAAAAAGUUUUGAGUUUGUGGUAGGACAGAUUAUUAUUUUUCUAAUGUUGAAUUUGUGCACUUCAGCUAUUAUGUCAUGCUAGCGCUUUCGCACUGAGUGUGAAUAUAUUUACUGAACUAUACCAAUUCUAUGACAUGACAUCCUUCUAUCUGUGGUGGCUCCCAUUUAAAAGUUUUUACUUCAUAUUGAUUCAUGCUAUUUACAGUGUAGGUUAAGCCUCCACCAUUUGCAUAUGAAUUGCUAAGCUUAAAAGAGUUGGAGAAUCUUAACUUCACUGUCCAUUUCCAUUGCUUGUCUAAUUAUGCUUGCUAUUUUAUCUCCCAAAUUCUAUUAUUACAAAUGUUAUCUAGGUCAUCCUCCAAGGGCAACUGACAAAAUUUCAUUAAUGUGGAUCUUGGACGUGUUUGUUUAUUUUUUGGUUAAUUUGUACUAAUAUAAAGUUUUGAUAGCUUUUAUAGAUACAUUUCAUGGAUUUACUUGGGAUAAUUUAAAAUUUUCUUGUAUGCUAUUUUGUUAGACUUAUGUGCAAUAAGUUAUGAAUAUCUGACAAGGAGAAAAUUUAAAUGAUGAAUCAUGUUUAAAACCAAGCAUUAAAAAGCAAAUUCCAUUUUCAUUUUCAAGUGAACCAAACAUAGGAAAGCAAAUUCUAAGAAAGUGUUUUCCUUUUCAAGUGAACCAAACAUUGAAAAGUGAAUUCUAGGAAUGUCAAUUCUACGAAAGUAAAUUCCUUAGGAAAUCACUUUCCAUGGAAUUUGAAUUACCUUGAACCAAACAUACCCAUAGUGUCAUUCAUGUUGUCUAGCCAUAAAUUCGCAAUUUGGGUGAACCAAAUCUGCCACAUGAUUAAAAUAGAGUUACUGUUGAACCUCUUAAUUAAGGAUGGACAUCUUUGAUACAACACAGCAGUGAUUGAACAACAACUCACUGGACCAGACUUAAUUUUUGUAAGAGGUUCAUGGGCCUCACUGUUUGUUGGUGUAAAAUUGAACCAAACCCAUGAUGAUCCAUUUGAACUAACAACCAGUUUGAUGCGUUCAAUAUGUCACACAACCCAGGCACAAGAUCGAAAGAAACCCAACAGACCAUAAGAAACACAACGUUUGAUCAACAUGAACUAUAUAUAAACAAAACAGUUGAUCUUUAGAUAAGAUCUACUUCAGACAUCUAUAUACUGAAAAACACAAUUUGGAAUCAUUUGACAAACAAUCAAAACGGAUUCAAUGGCACCAAGUACCAGUAUUGUUGUGUCGGUUAAUCGAACAUUGAAUCCAAAGUUUAUCAAAUUUCGCCUGUUGUCUCUUCACGAAAUGGUGUUACCAAUGUCUUCCAUUGGUGAUGAUGAUUCCGUUCUGUCUAUUGACACACAGUGACAAAAUUAUAUUUGUUUAUUAAUAUUAAACAAAUUUAAAUUUUCAUUCACCAGGCACCGUCCAAGACUGCAAUAAUCUUAUUUGAUUAUUUGAAUGUGUGAAUGGUAAAGACAAACACUUGCCUGGUAGGGGUCCCGUCUACCUAACCCCAGCUUGCUCAUUGUAAAAAAAGAAAAAAAAAACCUCUUUGGAUGUAGUAAAGUAAUAUCUAGAGAAGAUAUAGAUCAUUAUAAUCUGAAAUUUCUGUGAAAAAAAAAUACAAAAUUUGUUGGGCAAAUCGAUACUAAUUCAAUAAACCCAAAGUGCAGAACAACCCAAGAUUUAGAAGAAACAAGUAAUGAUAAUAAGAAAAACGAAGCCAAUACACAAGAUAUACGUGGUGGAACCCUCACGGGGAAAUAAAUCACCACAGGCAAAACAAAGUACUUUAAUUGAAUUUUACCUGCUGCCUUCCGAUCUUUCUUCUUCCAUGCAUCAUCGAUCUUUUCUUCCAUCUCUACAUUAUUUCCUAAACUCUCUUGACCCUUUUUCGAUACAAGAGGAGGACAAUCAAGUGCAUCAUCUAAUUCGAGCAUCACCAAGUAAUCACAAACUUAAAUUUUCCAUAAACCAAGGUUCAUGACUCCAUCAAACUUCUCAAUAUCAUACUCUUGAUACCAAAUUGUAGGGCAAAUCGAUACUAAUUCAAUAUACUCAAAGUGCGGAAUAACCCAAGAUCUAAAAAAAACAAGUAAUGAUAAUAAGAAAAACAAAUUAAAGCCAAUACACAAGAUAUACGUGAUAGAACCCUCACGGGGAAUAAACCACCACCGGCAAAACAAAGAACUUUAAUAUCUUCUACCGAAAAGAUUACAAGAUGAGAUCUCACACAACUCAACCUUACACCCUUUACAAGAAGAACACAAACCUAGAAAUCCCCCAUAGAGAUUGCUGCCAUGUUUCCCCAAGCCUCCAAGCUUCAAAUCUCCAAGUUUUGAAUCUCUCAAAACUCCCUUAGACUAUUGCUUAAUGUGGCUUCUAAAAUUCUUUUAGGUUUCUUACACUAUCAUGACCUUAUAUAGUGUUACAAGAAAUAUUAGGGUUUACCACGUUAUGGGCCCAAAAUAGGCCCAUACUGUCCAGAGGCAAUAAAUUUGUAUGAACUGAUGUCCAGAGGCACUUUUCCUUUCAGAACUUCAGAUUCAGUUUCUAAGAAUACCAUUGCGAAUCAGAAGGUCCUCCAUAUACCAUUGAAAAGAUGAGAGAGUUCUCUUUCCAACCCAAAAGACAGAUCGCAAUUCCGAGCACCGAGCAGAAAGUUAUGACUGUUUUUCUACAACGUACCAAAACCAAAAAUAACAAAAACUGAACAACAAAAUUAAAAUAAAUUGAGGCAAAUUUGUAAUGUGAUAACACAUGAUCAAGCAGACGUACUCCUUUGGGAUGAUUAAAGCUAAGUACCUUAAUAGGGCUUUUUUUUUCACUUAAAGUACUAACAAUCUUAAAAUCCAAGGUAUGUGUAGCAGCUUGAUAAGAUUAUAGAAACUGUUUAUAAAUAAAUCUUACUGUGGUUUUUUUUCUAGGAAUGACCUCUCCAAAACCGACAGAAACAAUGAAAACCCCCAGGGAUACUCAAAAGUCACAACUAAGAGCAUCCUAGAACCUGAUAACAAAAGAGAAAGAAGGAAUUAAAAUGGAUGUAGGACUGAAGAAGAGAAGUAAUGAACACUAUUUGUAAUCUGUGUUUUAAUACAUGCACUUUACAUUACUUGUUAGCUGCACAAGCAUAACCUAACAAACUAGCUGCCUGCGAAUCAGCUCUUACUUACCAUUGCAUCACCUACCCAACUCGAAUUGAUUUUGUGUGAUUUGGUUCAACAGAUUUUGUACAAUAGUGAUUAUGAUUUACAAUUUUAGGUAUUCAAACCACAACUUUUUUUUUUUUUUGCAUGAAGCGAGCUACCAGAUUAUAUUAAGAAAAAAAUGUUUACAUUCUAGUAUACAACAUUCCUGAUGCAUCCUGGCUUAUAAUGGUAUCCAGUUGCUCAGGAAAAGGUCCAAUAAAUUUACAGAGUGCUUCAGUGGUACUGAUGCCUGCUAAGAAAUCUGCUGUCCUAUUGGUUUCCCUGUAGCAAUGGAUGACUUCUAUGCUCUGAAACUUUGUAAUCAGCUCUCUAGCCAAGUUUUCAAAUCUUCUCGCCCUCCAAGAAGCUCUGAUAGAGCCCUUUAAUAUGUCAACAGCCUGUUUAGAAUCAGAAUAGACUCUCAUGUGUCUCCCAUUUCUGACAUCGAUCACACGAGAGAACAGAUCAUUAUAACUACAAUUUCCAGUUAACAAAACUAGAUAAAAAAAAAUGCCAAAAUUAAAUAUUUGAUAGCAUAUCAAAAGCAAAACAAGAAUUAAUAAAACACAAAUGAAUUUUGCAAGAAAUAAAACUCCCUUACUUUGAUUGCUAAAAGAUAAUAACAUUUCCAACCAUGGAAGUAAACAACACUAUUUAUAAGCUGAAUGCAAUCCAAUUCAACUACAGAAGUGCAUGACAUACCUAACUUGAAUCCUUCAACCUACCUACAGUACUUGUUAACUGGGUUUCUAAUUUUCUAUACAAGCCAAUCUGCACAACCAUUGCAUGACCUACCCAACUCGGAUAGGUGUACAAUCGAUGAUUUGCUUGGAAGUUCUCCAUAUUCUGCUCAAUACUAAUUUGUCCAUUCCAUUUAUGAUGUCAGUUACAAAUGUAAAUCAUAUCUUAGUUGUUGAAAAAUGGAACAUAACACUUGGUCCAAACUGUUCUCAAGAUAAAAUAAAGUACAUUAUGUUGGAGAAAAAGGUCUGACAGACCUGUCAGACUAUCCCUUUAUAUUGAAUGAACAAAGUGUAUUUUACAUUUAGUCCCACGUGUGUUGUGGGAAGUGAGUAAAGAUGUUUAUAUACAAUAAUUGUAACACGUACUAAAGGUGUAGCCCUUGGGUUACCAAGUUUUCGCGCGAUAGCGCAAGUCUAUGCAAUUAAUUGUCCACCACACGCCCCGACUGACGUUAUCUUUUUUGUCCACCUUUUAUUUAAUUAAAGAGUUAAUUAGCGAUUGCCCCCAGAUUUGAAAGCUAAAGUUGCGAAUGCCCCCAGAUUUUUUAUUGUGUAGUGAUGCCCCCUAGAUUUGCUUUAUUUUUUUUAAUACCAAAACUACCCCUCCAUUUUGUUUAGCCUUUGCCCCCAACUCUAUAAAACUAUCUUAACUUCCACGUAUGCAAGAAAUUGAUGGUUUUAUUUUCAACUAUAGAUCUAAAAUCCAUCUCUACGUUAAUCUAACAACAAACAACAUAAAGUAAAACACUUUAUAGACUUAUCAUUUUUUUGCUAUUGGAAUGGGGUGAAGAAGAUGUUAAAUUAGUAGAGAUUUGUGGGUUUAAUUUGGUAAAGUAAAACACAUUACAUGUGGCAUCAUGUUAUCGGUUGUUUUUGUUUUAUUAUCGUAGGAUAAACCUCGAGAUGUGUGCGAUUAUUUUUAUCUAGAUCUACUGUUGGAAACAAAAACCACCAAUUUGUUUCAUACAUGGUAGUUAAAGUGGUUUUAUGGAAUUGGGGGUAAAGGCUAAACAAAAUAAAAGGGUAGUUUUGGUAUUAGAAGAAUAAGGAAGCAAAUCUAGGGGGCAUCGCUAAACAAAAAAAAAUCUGGGAGCAUUUGCAACUUUGGCUUUCAAAUCUGGGGGCAAUCGUUAAUUAACUCUUAAUUAAAUUGUGAAUGGGUUCACUGGAUCAUAUUAAACCUUUACACUAACAUAUGUGUCUGUUCAUUGUGAAACGGUUCGUCAAAUGGGUCUGAGCCGUUUCAUUAAGUCUGCAAAAGAUGUGUUUGUUGAGAAACAGACACAACUUAGCCUAUAAAUUGAGUGUUAUUCUGGCCAGUAAGCACACAAUUCAUUCAGACUAAGUCUGCUUCUCUCUCUCUCUCUCCAUAGAAUUUGAAGUGUUCUUCUUGUUUGCUCGCCAGUACUCUGCUAUUACAGUGUAGUCUAGUAGAGUGUAGAACAGUUGUAUCUUGGGAGACUAAUCGUCCAGUAUAUGUGUGCACCAUAGCAAGGACGUAAUAUUGUUUUAAGGAUAUUGCCUCGGCAAGUCUCUGUUCAUAUCCUUUACCAUCAAGUUGUGUAAUAAGUGUUAUUGUAUCUGGGAAUUCAUUUAAUAAAUAUUAUUUGUUUUUUGUUUGUGUUAUUAGAAUCUCUACUUCCAUAAUUUUUGUGUUAUAUUCCUGAGUUCAUACAAUAUAAUCCCAACAGACUUAAGACAAUAUUAAAGUUGGUUUUUGUGUGAAAUUAAUAGGAAUGACGACCAGUUCUUCAACUAUGAAGACUACUGAAGUGCCUAAUCUGACUAAGAUCAUCACUCCUCAAGACAAGCCAGAGAAAUUCAAGGGUGUGGAUUUCAAAACAUGGCAGAGCAAGAUGUUGUUCUAUCUAACCAACCUCGGCUUGGCAAGGUUCUUAUCUGAAGAUACUCCUAAGCCCAAACCUAGUCAGACUGCUGAAAAAGACAAGGAAGCAUUCCAGGCUAUUGACGCAUGGAAGCAUUCUGAUUUCCUUUGUCGCAAUUAUGUUCUGAAUUCACUUGAUGAAGUGUUGUACAAUGUUUAUAAACUUAUUGUUUCUGCCAAAUUAUUGUGGGAGGCUCUGGAAAAGAAAUAUAAGACUGAGGAUGCUGGUCUCAAGAAAUUUGUAGUCGAUAAAUUUAUGGACUACAAAAAGAUUGAUUCCAAGUUUGUUUCUGACCAAAUCCAAGAACUCCAGAUCAUCUUACAUGAAGUCCAUAUUGAGGGCCAUGUAAUUGGUGAGACUUUUCAAGUGGAAACAAUCAUUGGAAAGCUACCUCCUUCUUGGAAAGAUUUCAAGCAUUAUCUGAAACAUAACUGCAAGGAAAUGAGUCUGGAUGAUCUGAUAGUGCCACUGAAGAUUGAAGAGGACAACAGGGGUACUGAAACCCGAAAGACUUUUGAGGCUAAGGCACAUGUAGUGGAGACGUCAAAGCAAACUAAGAGCUCCUCUAAGAAGAGGAAGAAGAAUCAGUCCAACAAUGCACCCAAGGACAAAGGUCAGAAAAGUUCAAGGGAAGCUGUUUUGUUUGCGGUAAAAAAGGUCAUUUGGCCAAAGAUUGCAGGCACCGCAAAGACGAAAAGGCUCCUGAGGCGAACAUGGGUGACAUAUCCAGGGAGAUUGACAACAUGCACCUAUCUACGGUGGUUUCUGAAGUGAACUUGGUAUCUAAUACCAAAGAAUGGUGGAUAGACACUGUGGCUACCCGCCACAUCUGUGCUGACAAGAGCCUCUUCUCUACCUAUCAGAAGUUGGAGCACGAAGAAAAACCUUUUAUAGGCAAUUCUGCAGUUUCAAUGGUUGAAGGCAAUGGAAUAGUGGUCCUGAAAUUCACUUCUGGAAACAAAGUCACUCUCAAUGACACUCUCCAUGUACCUGACAUCAGGAAGAACCUAAUUUCUUGUUCUGACCUUAGCAAGGAAGGGUUCAAAAUGGUCUUUGAGUCAGAUAAGUUUGUGCUGACCAAAGGUUGGGUGUAUGUGGGCAAGGGGUAUCUACUUGAUGGCCUCUUUAAGGCAAAUAUAUAGCCCUUGUUGAAACCAACAAGGCAAUUAUGUACUCUGAUUUUAAUAAUAAGAUUAAUUUUUCUUACUUGCUUGAGUCACCACAUUUAUGGCAUGAUAGACUAGGUCAUGUUAAUUACAGAAAAAUGAAGAAACUAGCAAGUUUAGGAUUAAUUCCUAAAUUUGACAUAGAUAAAACACAUAAGUGUGAGACUUGUGUGGAAGCAAAGUUUGCAAAACAACCUUUUCAUUCGGUUGAGAGAAGUACUGAGCCAUUAGGCUUAAUACAUACUGAUUUAUGUGAUUUUAAAUCAAUUCCAACUCGAGGUGGGAAAAAGUAUUUUAUCACAUUUAUUGAUGACUGUACUCGCUACUGUUAUGUAUAUUUACUUAAUAGUAAAGACGAGGCUUUAAUUACUUUUAUAAAGUACAAAACUGAAGUUGAGAAUUAGUUAGACAAGAAAAUCAAGAUCAUAAGAUUUGAUAGAGGGCGUGAAUACGAAUCUCCAUUCGUCCAAGUCUGUCCCGAAAAUGGAAUAAUCCAUCAGACCACAGCACCCUACUCACCUCAGCAAAAUGGUGUUGCUGAAUGGAAGAACAGAACUUUAAAAGAUAUGAUUAAUAUUAUGCUUAUAACUUCUGGUCUACUUGAGAACUGGGGGGGGGAGGGGGGGCUUUACAUAUGUCUAAUUACAUAUUAAACAGAGUCCCACAAAAAAAAAAUGAAACCAUUCCCUAUGAGUUAUGGAAAGGAUGACAACUCAACUAUAAAUACCUUAAAGUGUGGGGGUACGGUGUCUUGCCAAAGUUAUGGUUCCUCCACCUAAGAGAACUAAACUUGGGCUUAAAAAAGUUGAUUGUUAUUUUUUGGGCUUUACCAAAAUAGUAGUGCAUACAGAUUUUUGGUAUUUAAAUCUGAAAAUAGUGAAAUAAGUGUCAACACUAUUAUUGAAUCUCGUGAUGCUACAUUCUUUGAGAAUGUCUUUCCUCAUAGGAAUGAUCACGUAGAUAAAACUCCAAAACGGACACAUGAGGUGUCUAAUGAAACAAAUGAACUCGAUGAUAAUUCAGAUGAGCCUGAAUUAGAAGAGCCAAGACGUAGUAAAAGGGCAAGAACUUCGAAGUCGUUUGGUCCAGAUUUUUUAACUUAUAUGUUAGAAACUGAACCUAGGACGUAUAAAAAAGCAAUGUCUUCUCCUGAUGCUCCACUUUCGAAGGAAACAAUUGCAAAUGAGAUUGAAUCCAUUCAAAGCAACAACACUUGGGAAUUUGUUGAUCUUCCACAAGGAAGUAAAACAAUAGGGUAUAAAUGGAUAUUCAAAAGAAAAUUGAAACCAGAUGGUUCAGUUGAUAAAUAUAAAGCUAGACUAGUAGCAAAAGGGUAUAGUCAAAAGGAGGUCUUAGACUAUUUUGACAUAUAUUCACCAGUAACGAUGAUAACAUUGUUAUUCGUGAUUGCAGCCAUAUUUAAUAUGGAAAUACAUCAAAUGGAUGUUAAAACUGCAUUCUUAUAUGGUGACGUAAAAGAGAAAAUUUAUUUGGAACAACUAGAAGGUUUUUAAAUAAAGGGAAAAGAAAACUGUUUGGCCCAUGGUCUACCACUAUUCUGUCGAUAUUGUCCCCACCUUAAUCACCACUAGGCCCAAGGCCAUAUCCAUGGUGUGGGUUUUUUCCUAUGGUCGGGUUUCACUUACCCAAAAAGCCUCGAUAAUAGUGGAUACCAGACCAUUACUUAUAAACCCCUUAGAGAUCUGCUAUGGCUCGAAUGUGGGACUAUUUGGUCCACACACCUAACAAUCUCCACCUUAGACCAAAUCCCUGCCCAAGCCCGCCCAAUCAACCGUGGGCUCUGAUAGCAUUUGUUAGGCCCAUGGUCCACCACUAUUCCGUCGAUAUUGUCCCCACCUUAGUCACCACUAGGCCCAAGACCAUAUCCAUGGUGUGGGGUUUUUCCCUAUAGGUUUCACUUACCCAAAAGGCCUCGACAAUAGUGGAUACCAGACCAUUACUUAUAAACCCCUUAGAGAUUUGCUAUGGCUCGGAUGUGGGACUGUUUGGUCCACACACCUAACAAAAACAAAGUAUGUAAACUGGUUAAAUCCCUCUAUGGUCUUAAACAGGCUACAAAACAAUGACAUAUAACUAUUAAUGGAUUCAUGAUCAAGAAUGGGUUCCAAAGCAAUGAAUGUGACAAGUGUGUCUACUUCAAAAAAGUAGGCGAGGCUUACGUAAUUGUUUGUUUAUAAGUCGAUGACAUGCUCAUUUUCGGGACUAAUAGUGAAGUUAUUAAGUAUACGAAAAAGAUGCUAAAAAACAAUUUUGAAGUGAAAGAUUUAGGUGUUGCAGAUGUUAUCUUGGGAAUUAAGAUAAUUCGAACACCUAAUAUAAUUGGGUUAUCUCAAACUCAUUACAUUGAGAAAAUGAUAGAAAGGUUCAAACAUCAUGGAAUUAAAAAGACAAAUACAUCUUUUGUUCCAAAUAUGGUGUUACAUAAAAAGCAUGGUCCUAUCAUUGAUCAACUCGAGUAUUCUCGAAUCAUUGGUAGUUUAAUGUACGUUAAGAACUGUACAAUACCUAACAUUGCCCAUGCAGUUGGUAAACUAAGUCGGUUUACAAGUAAUCCAGGCCAAAGUCACUGGGAUGCUCUUCUGCGAGUGUUAGAGUAUUUAAAAGGUACACCUAACUAUACCUUACUGAUGUAAUACUAUCGGCGGAAGCAAACAAUAAUAAGAACACCAAUUAAAUAAAUGGUUUGAACACCCAAAAACUAGGGUUCUUCACAAAAACGAAUUUAAUGUCUCAAGACAUAAACAAAUCUUCAAUCUAACCUACUUAAUAGGGUUUGCAAUCCCCUAUUUAUAAUAACCUAAACCUAAUCCUAACUACACUAGAAACCUAAGUAAAUAGAAACUACUACUACGGAUGUUCUAAUCCAUAUAGGAAUCUGCAGGAACUAUAAGGCAUGCGCCUUGCACAUGCUAUCUUUAUGCAUAUGCAUCAAAUCCCCCUAACUUGAAAAAAACUCGUCCUCGAGUUUGUGUACUAACAUCCUCCAACGUUCAAAACGACUCUUGUACAUCAACCUCAACCUUACGUUGGUGCAGAAAAUCCGGCCAUGAAUCUUCCCCAGAUAGUUGCUCGCAGAAAGAAUGAUGGACAUUAAUGUCAUAGGUGCAUCAUUAGGAUAACUCAAUUGAUUGGAACAAUAUAGCCGCAUGUCAAGAAAUAAGAAUUGAAGGUGUUUGUCCCUACAUGGAGAAAAUCCAUUCUCAUCUUGGAAUAGAUAAGGAUCAACAUAACCACCAAACAAAUUACCAAUUACUUUUAUCGGACGGAAUUUGUGGGGAUGAUAAAAAUCAUCAAUUUAUCGUUCAGAAUCAAUGGAAUUCAUCGAUUCAUGGGAGUGAUGAGCGAAAUUCCGAGAACGUUCAUCCUCUUUACCAUUGUCAUGGACAACAACCAGGUUUCCUUACUUGGGCAACAAAUAGAACUUCUUAUUUAUCUCCCUUGCAGAUUUUUCAAUCAAAUCUUCUACUUGAUCCACACAUGCAACGUCUAACUCAAGAGACACAAAACUAGAUGUAUCAUCACUAUCAUCACCAAAAACGGAAAAGAAAUCAAGAUUGUAACUUUGUAAACCACCAAUUCGAGUACGAGUGACGUAUUUUUCUUCUUCAAACAUGUUGAGUAAGAAAUUAAUCUCCGCUUCUUUGUCAAGUUGUUUCUUUUCUUCAACAAAUUCUUCCUUAAAAGACGCAAAUUGACUUUUUAAUUUAGUAAAGCAAUUUAAAAGUUCUUUCAAACCUUUUUGUAUGCUUGGUGACGUCAUGGAGGCAUCAUUUGGAUAAUGAGGCUGCUGCAACAGUAAAAUCUGCUGGUUGUCGUUAUUAGAAACUUGUGAUGGGUGAACAACUGAGGUGGAUGUGUAGAGGUUUGACGGUGCAAGGGCUGCAACCAAACUCUUGUUAGCGGGGGCAUCACCAAACUCAAAUUCUGCACUAGUUUCAUCAUCAGAAUAUUCAACACACAAAAAACAUUAUCGUCUUCAUAAUCAAUCAUGGACUCAUUGCUCUUAGAAUCGAUUUCAGAUUCAAUAUAGUGUGGGUAUUCUCCAUACGGAGUAACCUUAGAAUUGCGACUACGAAGACCAUCGUGAUCAUAAGUCUUUGGACGGUUUCCAUGGGAAUAUUUAGCACCAUAAACAACAUAUUGUUGUUGAAAACCACAUCGAGGAGGGUGUGUGUCCUGCUGGUGGUGGGAAUAAUAUCCAUCAUAAUAAUAACUAUGACGUCGCCUGCGUGGAGGAGAAAGGGAACGAGAGAAAAAUGGAGGUUCAUACCUUCUGGAAAGAGAAAAGAGGCGGCUAGGAUCAAAGUUGGGAGCUUUAUAUUCAGAAUCGGUACAACGCUUCGAUUCUUGUAAACUCCAAAGAUCCGACGGCGGCGAAAACUCUCUUUGACCUCUUCUACGAUAACCCAUCUUCAAAUCACCAACAUGAACGCGGCUCUUGUGAAAAAAAAACAGGUUUUCAUCUUCUAAACCCAGAAAAAACAAGCUCUUGAUACCAAUUUUGGUGUAAUACUAUCGGCGGAAGCAAACAAUAAUAAGAACACCAAUUAAAUAAAUGGUUUGAACACCCAAAAACUAGGGUUCUUCACAAAAAACGAAUUUAAUGUCUCAAGACAUAAACAAAUCUUCAAUCUAACCUACUUAAUAGGGUUUGCAAUCCCCUAUUUAUAAUAACCUAAACCCAAUCCUAACUACACUAGAAAGCUAAGUAAAUAGAAACUACUACUAGGGAUGUUCUAAUCCAUAUAGGAAUCUGCAGGAACUAUGAGGCAUGUGCCUUGCACAUGCUAUCUGUAUGCAUAUGCAUCACUUACACUAUGGAAGAUAUCCAAGUGUUGUUGAAGGUUAUACUGAUGCAAACUAGAUUUCUGAUACAAGAGAAUCCAAGGCAACCAUUGGGUAUGUGUUUACUUUGGGUGGUGGUGCGGUAUCAUGGAGAUCUCCCAAGCAAAUAUGCAUAGCAAGAUCCAUAAUGGAAUCUGAAUUCAUAGGUUUAGAUAAAGCCGGUGAAGAAGUUGAGUGGCUUCGGGGUUUCUUAGAAGAUAUCCCAUUAUAGCCUAAACAUGUGUCAACCAUAUGUACCCAUUGUGACAACCAAGCAACUUUAAGUAGAGCUCAAAGCUUUAUGUAUAACGGUAAAUCACGACAUAUACGUCGUCGACAUAAUACCGUGAGACAGUUACUCUUACAUGGAAUUAUUUCCAUUGAUUAUGUGAAAUCACAAGAUAACCUAGCGGAUCCAUUUACUAAAGAUUUAUCUAGUAAGAAAAUUGACUGUGCAUUGAGGGGAAUGGGGUUAACGCCUCAAUAAAUACGAGUUACCUUAUACGGAGACCUAACCUAGCGACUGGAGAUCCCACGGACUAGGUUCAAUAGGACAACCAGUUAUGAGUAACUCACCGAGAGCACUUGGGAGAUUUUCUUUUUCCCAUUCCUAUGAUGCAACAAGUGCAACCUACAGUGUAGUACAGGUUAAGCUAUAUAUUUUUAAUGACGCCUAUAUCUUGUGAAAUACAAGUGGGGUAUAGUAGGAUAUCUUUAAUAUGAGCGGUCACCUAUGUUAGUGAGAGUUGGGUCGGCUCUAUGAGAAUUCUUAAAGGCAGAAUAUCUCUAGUAGCACUCGCAGAACCUAAGAUUGUUCAGGGCCAAAACGAACACAACCGAGAAUUAAACAAGAAUUGGGACAACAUUGUGCAUAGCUUAUUGUCUUGGUUACACCAACAACUGACAGUUCAAGAUCAAAUAUUUCACUAAUUAGCUAAGUAAAUCCGUUAAGCCUAUGCUACGGAAGGUUCAAAGUGAAAUAUCUACCUAUCCCGAGGUAAUGUUGUUCCAACAUACUCUUCGAAGAAGCUUUGAGAAUUUGUAGACGGAUUUCAUUCAAUGUGGGGGAUUGUUGGAGAAACAGAUCUGACAGACCUGUCAAACUAUCUCCUUGUAUUGAAUGAACAAAGUGUAUUUUACACUUAGUCCUAUAUGUGUUGUGGGAAGUGAGUAAAAAUGUUUAUAUACAAUAAUUGCAACACUAAGGGUGUAGCCCUUUGGGUUACCAAGUUUUCGCAUGAUAGCGCAAGGCUAUGCAAUUAAUUGUCCACAACACACACGCGUGUGCGCCGCUGUCCGACCGGUCGGUUCAAGAUCGGGCUUGGGCUAUGUGGUGGUUGAUAAGAUACUUAUCUUUUUGGUCCACCUUUUAUUUAAUUAAAUUGUGAAUGGGUUUACUGGAUCAUAUUAAACCUUUACACUAACAGAUGUGUCUGUUCAUUAUGAAACGGUUCGUCCAAUGGUUCUGACCCAUUUCAUUAAGUCUACAAAAGAUGUGUCUGUUGAGAAAAGACGUUUUUCAACAGGUGUGUGUGUCUGUUGUGAACAAGCACGACUUAGCCUAUAAAUUGAGUGUUAUUCUGGCCAGUAAGCACACAAUUCAUUCAGACUAAAUUUGUUUCUCUCUCCAUAGAAUUCGAAGUGUUCUUCUUGUUUGUUCGCCAGUACUCUGUUAUUACAGUGCAGUACGUCUAGUAGAGUAUAGAACAGUUGUAUCUUGGGAGACUAAUCGUCCAGUAUCUGUGUGCACCAUAGCAGGGACGUAAUAUUGUCUUAAGGAUAUUGACUCGGCAAGCCUCUGUUCAAAUUCUUUACCAUCAAGUUGUGUAGUAAGUGUUACUGUAUAUAUCUGUGAAUUCAUUCAAUAAAUAUUAUUUGUUUUCUGUUUGUGUUAUUAGAAUCUCUACUUUUGUAAUUUUUGUGUUAUAUUCCUGAGUUCAUACAAUAUAAUCCCAACACAUUAAACUACUUAUUUAAAAUCGUCGAUGUUGUUCAAGUAGAUCCAUGCCGACCCAGAACAAUGCUAGUUGAAUUCACCCUCUGUUGAUUGUGCUUGGUUAAUGUUGGAAGUAAGGGUAUUGUAGGUUUUAGCUGUGUAUUUUAGUCCCACAUAGCUUAGAUAAAAGGUCUAUGUGGUUUCUCUAUCUAUAUAUAGAGAGUUAGCUUCUUUGUAAGUUUAAAACCUAAUAUAUCAAUACCAUUCAUCUUUUAUAUUUCUAGUUGGUAUCAAAGCCAAGUUAGGUCAUGAUUUUUGGCCACCGACAACACUAACUUAGGUGCCGGUGGGCGGAGCUCCGGCGAAGUCUUUUUUGUCAAAUUUGUGUCUUUGUUUCCGCUGUUUUUUCUGCGCGCUUGUGUACUGUUCAUGAGUACUAUUCACGGAUAUUUGUUCAUCAACUACUGUUCACCGGAAUCACUGUUCACAGAUUACUAUUCAUCGGGUACUGUUCAUCAAGAUUUUUUUUUAAGAUCCAGGUUUGAUGUUUCUCUUGUUGGUGCACUACUCUUGUCCAACCCCUUCCAGGGUUUUGUCUGCGUUGUUGAUGUCAUGCGCAGCUAGUUGAAGUUCAGCCCUUUCUAGGGCCUUGUAUGCAUUGCUGCAGUAGUGCGCCGCACUUGUCCAUCCCUUUCUAGGGGCUUGACUGCGUUGUUGAUGUCAUGCGUCAUUCUUUCUAGCCCUCUCAAGGGCCUUUUCUGCGCUGUCGUCCGUUUACAGUUUUACUGUUCAUGUCCAGCCCUUUCAACGGUUUUGUUACUCCAAAAUCAGCCUUCUUUCGUCUUGGAGUACUUCGUCUUUAUUGAUUUUUGAAGUUAUAAUGCUUUGUGGAAAGUAAACCCUAGCCACCGAAAAGAACAUGACCCUAGUCACCACCACUACCUCCGGCGUCUUUCUUGGUUGAGCAGCUGGUAAUCCCUGCUCCUUUAUUGUGUCUGCAGAUGGACAUCCCUGCAGACGAUUCUUCUUCCAGCUGGUCAUCCCUGCCAUUGAACAUCUUUCCUGGUGUCAUUCUCAAGAUACUUUAUGGGGGAUGUGAGAGAACUUCUUUGUAUUUCAAGCUAAAAUUCAAAGUCUGAAUGUUUAAUUUGAGAGGGAGUGUUGGAAGUAAGGGUAUUGUAGGCUUUAGGUGUGUAAGUCUAUGUUGUUCCUUUCUCUAUAUAUAGAGAGUUAGCUUCUUUGUAAAUUUAAAACCUAAUAUAUCAAUAUCAUUCAUCUUUUAUAUUUCUAGUGUUAAACAUACCACAACAAGUGAAAGCUUAUGUUCUUAUUUCUAUUUGCAUUUACUCUCACCACUGCUUAAAGUUUCGGUAAUCAAGCAAAGAAAUAAAACAAGGUCAGCAUAUAUGUUGGGUUGUCGCUAAAAUGCCCUUAAUGUCGAACGCCAUUUUGAACUCCUCUGCUUUCUCACCAGGCAAUUUAGUUUCUUGGCCCUGUAUAAUUUCAAAAUAUACAGAAAAGUCACCUGCAUGGCUGCAUACAUAAAUUUCCCCUACUUAUUUUGUUUUCACCUGAAAUUUGAACUUACCGUAUAGCACCGAGACAUGGCACCUUAAUAAUAUUAACAUUUAUGCUGAUGAACUACAGAACAAUAUUAGCUCAAUGAUAUGAAAACAGCAAAAGAGUUGCUGAAAGAGUAGGAGUUGAAUGAAGCUUCUACGUCCAAGUCCAAAUCAAGUUUCUGCACAAAUUAACCUCUUAAUUUUACAAGAAUAAAAGAAAUAUUCAAUAAUGAAAAAUUAUGGACUAUAUAUAAAUGAAAAUUUAAUAAGAAGUUACAGUAUUGAGAAUUCAUUGCGAGAAACAUAUUACAAGCCUGAUCGGCAGGUGUUAACUAACCCAACUGGACAUACAGUGCAAUAGCCAAAGACUAGACUGAAACAUCCUACAUAAGAUCUGCUGAUUUCCCUGCAACUGUCGUUUGCACUGCGCACCAAAACAACAUCCCAUACCCCUUCAAAAUCUUUAAAUUUCCCCUCGACAGGUUGAAGUUACAAAGCCCAUGACCAGCUUUAAAAGGUAUGACGUACUUUACUCUCCUGCCCAUUAUGGAACAACUGCUUCCUCUCCAUGUUUGCUGCUUCCCUUCAUGCUCCUCUCUGAUGAGGGCCUAAUUUCCCUGCUGCAUUUGUCAAAAAUUGUUAGUUAGAAGAUAAAUAUUUUAACUUCUAAUACAUGUAGAAGACCUGUAAAGAUAAUACUUACUGUGGCUUUUGGAGAUUUAGACCGAGAGAGGAUAGAUCAUUAUAUUCUAAAAUUCCUGUAAAAAACAAAAAUAUAAUCUGAAAAACACAUACGCUGCUUAGGUCAAGUGAAACUGAAAUUUAAUUUCACUGAAUUCAAGCAAGGAGUCCACUACGUACAGGUUCCAUGUUUUCAAGAAUGGAGCAUUUCAUUCAUGGAGUCCAACUACGACACCACCCAUGACGAUUCCACUCAAGUUAAAAGACUCACACGAGAGAACAGAUCAUUAUAAUUAUAAAUUCAGAUGAGAAAAUAUUGCAAAUUAGGUAUGUGAAAAGAUAAUUCAAGAAGACUUACUUCGAUUGUUUGAAGGUGUGGAUAUUUCCAAACACCGACAGAGAUGAAAAAGUGCACCAUGGAUACCCAAAAGGAGAGCAUAUAUUAUAUACAAUACAGAACAAACGAAAAGUUGUAUGGAGAUGAAAUUCUGAAGCAAAACACUAGUACACUAAACUAUAUAUAAGCUCAAAUGCAAUGCAAAUUCAAUUACAUACACAUGAUCUACCUAAAGGUGCUUGCAUUACUUGCUGGCUGGGCUUCUUACCAUUACAUGUCAAUCAGCACAACUGCGCAAGUGCAUAACUAUUGCAUGACCUACCCAAAUCGAAUGGAUGCUGCGCAAACAAUGAUUUGAAUCAUCAUAUUCCAUUUUAAGAUUCUUACAAAUUCAUAUCAUGAAUCAUCAUGUCAGCUAUUUGGUGGCCUCGAUAUCCAGAAUGUUGUAAGUCCAAAAGCCCAAUACAACUAUUGAAAAGACUUUCACAUAUCAGUGGACUUUGAUAGUAAUCCAUGACAAUUGAGAAUGAUAGUAUACAAAAUCAAAGAGAUUUAUAAAGUGGAAUUAUUGACAUUCACAUCAUUGGUUCCUUCAAUAUCUCAAAUGUUUAUGACUUUUGAGCUUCGACAUUUGAUCAAAACUUUCUUUUUGAGAACUGUGAUUAUCAAAACAUACAUGACAGUAAAUCAUUUUAUAGCUCUUCAGUCAUGCCAUAAAACAUGGCUAGUAAUGUAUUAUUGCAUGAUUCUCUCUCUUUUUCUCACAUUGAAGUCAUUUCUCUUCACCUUGUUGCAUUUGUACUGUUAGAGGUUUCACAAAAUUUGUGAGAAAUGAUAACCAAUUCCUUCAACUAAUGGCAGCUCAUAAACUAAUGUAAAGAACUUUCAAAAGAAGGCAAGAAUUUCUAACAUGGAAUACCUGUAAAGUUUAUGCUGUCAACUGCUUUUGUAGGAUUAGAGCCGGAGAGGAUAGAUCAUAUUGACAUUAACCAGUGUUAUGGUGUUCGGCACUCCGGGAUAAGCCAGGACGAAAUCUCGGGGUGUUACAUACUGUGAUUUAAAAAAAAAUGGACAUCGUCUCCAAAGUCCAAACACCAGCAGAGACGAUGAUAAAGACCAGGGAUACUCAUUAGUGAGAGCAUCCUAGAAUCAAAAGUGAGGGAUAUAAUGAAACAAAAGAAUUAAACAACACUCUUUAUAACCUAAUUUCAAUAUGAUGUCACUGCACACAUAACUUAUCAAACUUGAACCAUUACUUUUUAGCUGCACAAAUACACAAACAUAAACUAGAAUCAGUACAUCAUGUACUUGCUAACCACCAUUACAUCACGUACCCAACACAAAUUGACGUGCAACCAACCGAUGAUUUGAUUUGAUUUAAUUGGAUCACCAGAUUUUGUUCAACACUGAUCUGUCAAUUCCAUUGCAAGCAUUUAAACAACAAACUUUUACAAAGGAAGAGAUUGAUGAUACUAGUUUAAGGUCAGAAUCUUAACAUAUCGUAGUUGCUAACCACAUAUAUUCCUGCCAGAAACAAAAUAUAAGCCUGAACAGUGGGUCUUAAUGAACCCCGUCAGGUAAUUAAAUUAAAAACCAUGCAACACGACAUACAAUUCAACCAGCCUGUAUAAGUUCUGCUCAUCUGCUGUGCUGACCUCCUUGCAACUGUCCUGUUCUGCGCACACGAAAACCACAUCUCCCACUGAAACUCCUCCAUUAUUUUUAACUUUCUGCAGUAGACUAAAGUUAGCCCCAUCACAAGCUUAUAACCAGUUACCACUUCACUAUCAAGCCCUUAGUGAAGAACUAAUUCCUUUCCCCUCUCUGCUUCAGUGCCGUUGCUCCUGCCCUUCUUGGUUUACAAAAGGAUUUGAUGGCAGUUGAGAAUGAUUAAAAAAAUACAGAGGCCGUGUGUAGUCAUGAAAUAGUCCAUGCAAGGUAGGUUAUGGUGGUCGAUCAUUAUCGUGAGCUGCUCCUCCCUACAAGGGUACUAAGGAUAUUAUUCAAGCUAGGCUUUGUUUAUUGCAUAUUCAUUGUUCAAACAAGAGAUCGAACUAGAAACUAGAAAUGGAUAAUCAACGUAACCACGAACAGGAUCAGGAAGGUACAUCAAGUUCAAACCUUCUUGGCAAGUCAGGGUUGGACAAGAACCACCUACCAUAAGAGACAAGAUCUGUAUAAUAUAAUUUCCAGCAAUUGCGUUAUUACCUUAUUCCGAUCCCAAUCAUAACCCCCCGCAACUAUGAUUGUUCCUCUGAAUGUCAUUCUCGUUGGAACAAGACUGUGAGGAGUUUAAGAUACAAAUGGAGAAAAUGGUAGGAAAGAGAUUCGGAUGGGAUAUGGUUAUCUUAAACCAGACUUGCAGUGCAAUAGGACAAUGCAUAAUAGUUGCAUAAUGGAGCUAGAGAGGAUAGAUCAUUAUAACUUCAAAUUCCUGUAAUGAAAAAUGAAACUAAAGUUAGUAAA
rnacentral:lncRNA from 1 species